rnacentral:tRNA from 1 species
GGCCGGUUAGCUCAGUGGGUUGAGCACAGUGCUGAACACAACGACAACACUGAGGUCGUGAGUUCGAUUCCCGCUCAGUCCC